GAUGAACGCUGGCGGCGUGCCUAAUACAUGCAAGUCGAGCGAACGGACGAGAAGCUUGCUUUUCUGAUGUUAGCGGCGGACGGGUGAGUAACACGUGGAUAACCUACCUAUAAGACUGGGAUAACUUCGGGAAACCGGAGCUAAUAUCGGAUAAUAUUUUGAACCGCAUGGUUCAAAAGUGAAAGACGGUCUUGCUGUCACUUAUAGAUGGAUCCGCGCUGCAUUAGCUAGUUGGUAAGGUAACGGCUUACCAAGGCAACGAUGCAUAGCCGACCUGAGAGGGUGAUCGGCCACACUGGAACUGAGACACGGUCCAGACUCCUACGGGAGGCAGCAGUAGGGAAUCUUCCGCAAUGGGCGAAAGCCUGACGGAGCAACGCCGCGUGAGUGAUGAAGGUCUUCGGAUCGUAAAACUCUGUUAUUAGGGAAGAACAUAAGUGUAAGUAACUGUGCACAUCUUGACGGUACCUAAUCAGAAAGCCACGGCUAACUACGUG
rnacentral:rRNA from 1 species